AGGAAGGAAGGAAGGAAGGAAGGAAGGAAAGAAAGUGGCUUUCUCUUUUCCUUCCUUCCUUCCUUCCUUCCUUCCUUCCUU